CGGCGGACGGGUGAGUAACACGUGGAUAACCUACCUAUAAGACUGGGAUAACUUCGGGAAACCGGAGCUAAUACCGGAUAAUAUAUUGAACCGUAUGGUUCAAUAGUGAAAGACGGUUUUGCUGUCACUUAUAGAUGGAUCCGCGCCGCAUUAGCUAGUUGGUAAGGUAACGGCUUACCAAGGCAACGAUGCGUAGCCGACCUGAGAGGGUGAUCGGCCACACUGAAACUGAGACACGGUCCAG
rnacentral:rRNA from 1 species